CGGCGUCACGAGUGGCAAUCACAUUUAUUGGGUCUAAAGCGUUCGUAGCCAGUUUAGUAAAUCUUUUGUGAAAUUGUCGGGCUUAACUCGACAGCGUGCAGAAGACACUACUAGACUUGAGACCGGGAGGGGUUAGAAGUAUUUCAGGGGGAGCGGUAAAAUGUUAUAAUCCCUGAAGGACUACCAAUGGCGAAGGCAUCUAACCAGAACGGAUCUGACGGUGAGGAACGAAGGCCAGGGGAGCGAACCGGAUUAGAUACCCGAGUAGUCC
rnacentral:rRNA from 1 species